rnacentral:rRNA from 1 species
UACGUAGGAGGCAAGCGUUGUCCGGAGUUACUGGGCGUAAAGCGCACGCAGGCGGUUUGCCAAGUUUGGAGUGACAGUUGUUGGCUCAACCGACAAAGGACUUCAAAAACUGGUGAACUUGAGGACGAGAGAGGAACAUGGAACUCCAGGUGUAGUAGUGAAAUGCGUAGAUAUCUGGAAGAACACCAAUGGCGAAGGCAAUGUUCUGGCUCGUUUCUGACGCUCGGGUGCGAAAGCCAGGGGAGCGAACGGG